AGCUCCAAUAGCGUAUAUUAAAGUUGUUGCAGUUAAAAAGCUCGUAGUUGGAUUUCUGGCAGGGGGCAACAGCCCGCUUGCAGCGUGUGCUUGCCGUCCCCUACCAUCCUUCUGUUAACGCGCCAGGACAUUCACUUGUCGGGCGCGGGCUCAGAUAAUUUACCUUGAGAAAAUUAGAGUGUUUCAGGCAGGCUGACGCCGGGAUACAUUAGCAUGGAAUAAUGGAAUAGGACUUUCGCCUCUUCUGUUGGUCUGAGGGGUGAUCGUAAUGAUUAAUAGGGAUAGUUGGGGGCAUUAGUACUUAACUGUCAGAGGUGAAAUUCUCGGAUUUGUUAAAGACUAACUUAUGCGAAAGCAUUUGCCAAGGAUGUUU
rnacentral:rRNA from 1 species